rnacentral:rRNA from 1 species
AUUGAACGCUGGCGGCAGGCCUAACACAUGCAAGUCGAGCGGCAGCGGAAAGUAGCUUGCUACUUUGCCGGCGAGCGGCGGACGGGUGAGUAAUGUCUGGGAAACUGCCUGAUGGAAGGGGAUAACUACUGGAAACGGUAGCUAAUACCGCAUAACGUCGCAAGACCAAAGAGGGGGACCUUCGGGCCUCUUGCCAUCAGAUGUGCCCAGAUGGGAUUAGCUAGUAGGUGGGGUAACGGCUCACCUAGGCGACGAUCCCUAGCUGGUCUGAGAGGAUGACCAGCCACAGUGGAACGGAGACACGGUCCAGACUCCUACGGGGGGCAGCAGUGGGGAAUAUUGCACAAUGGGCGCAAGCCUGAUUCAGCCAUGCCGCGUGUAUGAAGAAGGCCUUCGGGUUGUAAAGUACUUUCAGCGGGGAGGAAGGCGUUGAGGUUAAUAACCUCAGCGAUUGACGUUACCCGCAGAAGAAGCACCGGCUAACUCCGUGCCAGCAGCCGCCGUAA